rnacentral:lncRNA from 1 species
UUUUCGAACUUUUUAGGUCGAAAAACAUUUCACGACCCUCCGCCAAGUGUGGAAAAGCUCGGAACACAUCCAAUCAUUCGAACCUCGCAAUUUGCACUGGUCCAGUGUGCUACAAAUCUUUUAUAGUGCGAACCAAACGCGCCCCAAAUGCUAUUCCUAUGAUUUUACAGUUUCUCGCUUUAGUAUCCUGUGAUUUAAAAUAUAUUACUUUAGUAUCUUAUGAUUUUAUUUUUCUUUUUCCGUUAUCUCCAAUGUUAAUUUUUUUUCAACAUAUCAGUUAUAAAUUUAAAAACAUAAGUCCUAAAGUAAAAAAUCGAUAAAUUACAGAGUACUAAAGUGAAUAUUCUACUAACCAUAGGUGGAGUAACUAAAUUUUUUGCAUAUGAUUUAAGAGAAUGUUAACGAAGGUGCUAACGGAAAGAAAAUAAAUGGAACCAUAUAGUACUAAAAUAAUACCGUUUAAAUUAGAGAAUACUAAAAUAAAAAAGGAUAUUUAA